AUUGAACGCUGGCGGCAGGCUUAACACAUGCAAGUCGAGCGGGGUGAUGGUGCUUGCACUAUCACUUAGCGGCGGACGGGUGAGUAAUGCUUAGGAAUCUGCCUAUUAGUGGGGGACAACAUCUCGAAAGGGAUGCUAAUACCGCAUACGUCCUACGGGAGAAAGCAGGGGAUCACUUGUGACCUUGCGCUAAUAGAUGAGCCUAAGUCGGAUUAGCUAGUUGGUGGGGUAAAGGCCUACCAAGGCGACGAUCUGUAGCGGGUCUGAGAGGAUGAUCCGCCACACUGGGACUGAGCAACGGCCCAGACUCCUACGGGAGGUAGCAGUGGGGAAUAUUGGACAAUGGGGGGAACCCUGAUCCAGCCAUGCCGCGUGUGUGAAGAAGGCCUUAUGGUUGUAAAGCACUUUAAGCGAGGAGGAGGCUCUUUUGGUUAAUACCCAAGAUGAGUGGACGUUACUCGCAGAAUAAGCACCGGCUAACUCUGUGCCAGCAGCCGCGGUAA
rnacentral:rRNA from 1 species